rnacentral:misc_RNA from 1 species
AGCAGCCGCGGUAAUUCCAGCUCCAAUAGCGUAUAUUAAAGUUGUUGCAGUUAAAAAGCUCGUAGUUGAAUUUCGGGAUCAAUAUGUUGGUCGUGCCUCGGUACGUACUAGCAUAUUGGUUUCUCCUUUCUGAAGAACCAUGAUGCCAUUUAUUUGGUGUCGUGGGGAAUCAGGGCUGUUACUUUGAAAAAAUUAGAGUGUUUAAAGCAGGCUCACGCUUGAAUACAUUAGCAUGGAAUAAUGAAAUAGGACGUUUGAUUCUAUUUUGUUGGUUUCUAGGAUCGACGUAAUGAUUAAUAGGGAUAGUUGGGGGCAUUAGUAUUCAAUUGUCAGAGGUGAAAUUCUUGGAUUUAUUGAAGACUAACUACUGCGAAAGCAUUUGCCAAGGAUGUUUUCAUUAAUCAAGAACGAAAGUUAGGGGAUCGAAGACGAUCAGAUACCGUCGUAGUCUUAACCAUAAACUAUGCCGACUAGGGGUCGGAUGAUGUUAAUUUUUAAUGACUCAUUCGGCGUCCG